rnacentral:tRNA from 1 species
UUCUUGGUGGUCAAGUGGCUAACCUCUGCACUCCCAAUACAGGGGGCCCAGGUUCAAUCCCUGGUCAGGGAA